CUUACUAAAUUCCCCACCGGUGGUGCACAUACACACCCAGGCACAGAGGCUGUACAAUACAUAUACUAUUUCUGAUGGAUAUUUGAGAAUUUUGUCUUUAAUUUUUUUGAGUAUUAAAAAAGCUGCAUUAAAUAAGCCACACCACUGUCAUUUCAUGAAAGCAGAUAGUAAUACUUAACCUCUCAGAUUCAAAGCUAGUAAACAUGCCCUUCUAUAAGACCGCCUGUCGUUCUUGUUUUGUGUACUUUUUUUCACCAGGAUACAAUAUAGAUCAGUCACACAAGGUAGCAAGAGGCUUUUCCUUUAACAAUAUUUUUAAACAAGAUUUUAAUACAGAAACCUUGCAAUCUCUUAAGUGAACUUUAAAAGAAGCUUUAAAUACUCAAAAAUUUAAGCUUUCCAGGAAUCCAGGGAGAUUAUAAUAUGCACACUUGAAAAAGCAGGAAAUUUUAUAGUCCCUCCAAUAGUAGUAAUUUGUCAGUAGUUUUGCUUUGUUUUGGGGAUUUUAUUAUUUAAUUGGUAUUCUUUGCAGGAAGCAAUUGAAUGAAGGUUAGUUUCAGCUAUGUAGCAGUCACAUAUACUACAUAGUUAACUAUCUUGUCUUAACAUUCCUUGUUCAAUUAUUUCCAAAUUCUUAACCAUCUGUGAAAUUACCUUAGCAAACAGAACAUCAAAGGAAAAUGAACGUAGAAGUUGAUCAACAGUUUUGUCUCCAUUUCCUUCACAUGAUAUGCACUUGUUUAUUGUUAGAAACUUGAUACAGAAUUUACUUGAAAGUCCAAGGACUGUUAAUUGUCAAAUACAACUCAUAUUCCAGGACACUAUUCUUUUUGCCAUUCACAUUUUUAAAUUUACAGCCUCAAUUCCUUCAUUUGUAAACUCUGGGCUGAGUUACCCAGUUACACACCACUAUGUACUUCUAUCAGAAGCAGUGAAAUUGACCUUCUUUAUAUCUAUCUAGCCUGAAGCUAAGGAAGUACUGUAGUUUAGUGCUAAGCACAGUUGAUGAAGAUUUUUUUUUUAAAUUAACAUGUGUAACCUGUUGACAGGGAUUGAAAGCUAUUGAGAGAUCGAGAUGGGGAAUGGGGGGGCGGUAUCCAUAAGCUAAAUGUACCAAGAGCAGAGGGCUGGAGAUUAGCCAAAUAAGUAACUGAAUCCCCACAUCAGAUCUGUAAACUAGAGGGAGAGUAAACAACAGCAACAGUAGCUGUAGCAAAAACAUUUAUUGAGGCUUUUAUCCAGUUUUCCUGCUUUUUUUCUUUGUAUGAAUUAUCUCAUUCUGUCUUCUCAACAAUUCAGUAAUACAAACAAACACUGCUGGAGAGGAAACAGCUCUAAAAGGGGAAGGAACUUGUCCAGAGUCUCAGGAAAUCUUAGAGAAAGUUACCUUUUUGAGACCUUUUCCUCUUACCAAUUCCUGGGACCCUGCCUGGAUAGUCAGGCUUUGCUGCUUUCUGUGGAAUGUUUGAAGGGACUCUGCCUAGCACCAUGUACUUUAUAAGCACAUCAGAGCAUGCUUUAUGUGACAUGGUAUGUCUGAUCCCCUACUUCAGCUAUUUAGGGUUCAGAGGACUGCUUCUGUUGAAAGGACCUCACCUCUGAGAACUUAGCUCAUGGAAGGGCCACCGCCAUAUCUAAGCCCCAGUGUAUAAUGUCUGCACAGCCACUAUAUUCAUGUUGGAUUAGAAAUAUUUUGGGGAAAAGGAAAAGUAAAAAUAAACUUUCUAAUAUAAACGGUUUUUAAAAGUUUUAAAGGAACCGCUAAAACAUGAAAAAAAAAAUACAAAGAAAAAUUUCUACUGACUACCUUAGGAAUUCUAAGAAAUAUACUGUAAAAUGGCACUCCAUUAGAUAGUUCCAUUAGAGUAACUGAAUAACUGGAGCAAACAACAGUCCCUUGAACACAAUAAAGUAUCCAAUAUUUUUGUACUAAAUGAAUAAAAAUAUAAAGCUAUGUAUAAAAAAUUAACAAUUUUUAUGUAGUACUACUUAGUACAAAAUUGAACUGAUUUAUUAAAAACAUUACCACAUUAAGAUUCAAAAUUGUUACUAGAAACUUUUUUAUUUUUUAAACAAUUUGUUUUUAUGCAGUGAAGAUACAAUCAUUUUCAGGAAGGCAUAAACAGUACCUGGCCUGACUGUUCCUAACCUUGCUCAUUGGCUACGGGCAGUUGUUCUGUGACAGUUUAGGACAAGAAUGAAGUAUCUUCCAAACUACAGAUGACUUUGCAAUUCACCUUCUUUCACUGAUUUUUGGUAGCCUGUUUAAAGCACAACCUUAAACAUACUCUGAAAUGGAAUUCAGUAGAUUCAGAUUAAAGAAUAAUUUUGUCCCUCUCUUGUUCUUUCUUAAUUUUGAGAGAAAACAUUAGGACAUCCUUCACAGGAAACACAUCAGCUUCAUGGGUUAGCUUUGUAGGGCAAGAUUAAAAAUAAAAUUUAAUGUUGAUCAGACAAAACAUUGUUAUACUAUGUGUGAACAAAAAAGUUAAAAUAAUCACAUUUGUAUUUAUAAUAAAAGAGUUUACUUUUGACUGGUGUGGAACAACAAUUUUGCAUAAUAUUCUGCUGGGACAUAUUAGGUUUAGCAGUUUUUUAGUUCCAUUUUCCUUAGAUGAUGUGAAAAAAUUAUUUUUCCUUUAGAAGCAGAUCUUAUUCAAGAAAAUGUUCAGUUAGAGAAAAAGCCUCUUGGUACAGAAAUAAGUCUGCAGUAUAAAUCCACUAAAAAAUAUUUUAAUGGAAAUACAUUCACCAACCAUUAUUAAACUUUGCAUUUUAUUCAGUUGUUUUCCUGUCACUAUAAUUAAGAGACAUAUUUGAAGUCUGAUUCAGAGAAGUGAAUCCAGGAAGAAAAAUGAAAAAUGAGAUAUACUACUAGAAUGAUUUUAGAAGAAAGCCUGUUUUAUGAAGUGAGUAGCCAUUCUGUACAUAGUGUGAUUAAACAUAAUUGCAGUUUAUUAUUUAAAACAGGGCACAUACGUUAUUAUGAAAAUUAUACCAUCCUAAAUCCAUUAAAUUCUUUUAUAGCUAUGUGAUAACAUGUAGAAUAGCUAUUAGCUGAAUUCUAACAAACUACUGAGGUCAGGUAAUUACUUAUCUGUUAUUAUAGCCUUGACUGGUUCCAUUUACAAAACAAAAAAAUAGUGGCCUUGUCCCACCAAUUCCAGCAGAAGGUGAUAAGUCUCCUAUGUCCAAAGAAAAUAGAGAAGCCCACUCCAGCUAUAGUAUCUGCUUACUAGCUAAUGCAAAAAACAAUCCUUCCCACCAGCCACUGGACCUGCUAGAUUUUCAACAAGAAAAUAAACUGUCCGUUCAACAAUAGGACUCUUUGAAUUUCUCAAGAGUCAAAGCAAACCUACAACACGCCUUAAAAAACAUAAAGCAAGUAGGACAAUUUUAAUAGUAAUAGCUUCACACUUAUCUUUGUAUCAAAAGGAGCAAAGGAGAAUCUUUCUUCUGGGCAUAGUAGGCAGCCAGUCACUCACAGUACAACUCCAGGAAUGCCUUACUGAUUAAAGAAUGGAACACUAUUAAUAUACUUGAAUAAUUUGGGUACUUAUAUGCAGAAACGCAGUAAGGUGUAGAGGGACACUCAGUAGUUUAAAGGAUUGUUGUAAAAUAGUUCAUUGUGAGUAUACAGCUUUAGACAUCAAGGUGCUUUCAUUAUUUUCCUUUGCUAACCAUUUUAAACUGUGAGAUAGACCAUAAAUAGAAGUGUGAUUUUCUCUAUUUUUUAAGAAAAACUAUAAACUAAUACAUUUUAUAGCUAUAGUUAUACCUAAACUACACCUUAUAAUAUAAACUAUUGUGGCUUAGAUUAUAGCUCAAAGACAUCAAACAUGAAGUGAACAAUGAAACUUUCAAUUGAUUCGAAUACUUUAAAAUAGUCUGGUAUGACCAGUUAUACUUGAAAAAAAAAAAAAAAGGAUUUCCACUAACCCUACCUCCACUCUUUCAUUGUUACUUUAUUUAAUAUCCUUCUCUGCCAAAAACUUGAGAAGUUUCUUAUCUCAGUAUUGGGUGCUUGAUUUUCCACUCAAUGUAGCUCAUCCUAAAUCACUAAGAGUGCUCUAACCAUGGAGGGCCAAAGUCUCCUCAGUUUCCAAAUCAAAAGCUUUUGAUCUCUUUGGAAUGUUUCUCAAUCUCAAGGCUAUUGACUUUUUGCAGAGGAUUAUUUACUGCAGAGAGAAAGCUAGAUGUAGAAUAUUUACUAGCAUUGCUUCUACUGCUUCUUUGGGCUUCUGCUACUUUGCUGAGACAUAGUUUGCUGUAAGUUAACAUGUAACCUUACAGAAUCUAAGUUUUUAAUUGAGUAAAUGACACAAACAUAGGAAUAGUCUAAAGAAUUAAUGCUUAGAUAGACUUAUUAAGCAGUGAUCUAGUUUCGACAGAAUAUGCUACAAGUUCUUAAUUUCUAACUUCUGAACAAUUUUUCUUAAAAAUAUGAACCAUGUUAUAUUCAUUUUCUUCUGUUCUUGACAUUCAAUAACAUGUACCCUGAAUGAACAAAUAGAUAGAUGCAUAAAUAAAAAUGGAAAAAUAAAAAAUAAAAAUAUCUAGGUAUCUGGAUUCUUUCCAACUAGAUUUCCCAAGUUUUGCAUAUUGAUCAGUUUGUGUGAUUGCUAUUUUUUCUUUUUAAUUGGUUAAUGUCAGGUAAGAGGGCUUACAAAGGAUAAAGACCCAAGGGUUGUGGAACAAAUUGCAUGGAAGCUAAGAAAGGAGAAACAAAGUUUCUGAAAAUAAAUGAAAAUUUGGAUUCACAUUGGAAAUGUAAAUUCUCCUUAAAGCCAGUGCUUUUUAUCAAACUAACUUUUCUCAUCAGAAUUUACUAUCUAGUGUUUGGAAUUCUUUUUAAGUAUACAUAUACAAUACUUUAAAGUAUUUUAGUGUUACUAGUUUUGCUUUACGAGGUCUACUAAAUCUUUGACAUAGUAUUUGUAAUUAAGACGGAAAACUGAAAGAUGAGUUAUUUACAUGCAUAUAAACAAACUAGAUGACUUGGUGGUCGUGUAGAUUCUUUCCCUACCAAACCUUUGGAUUUUGAGUUCUGAGAUGGGGCCCAGGAAUUUGCCGAUCAAUAGACUAUCCUGAGUCAAUAUUGUGUGAUCACCCUUUGAGAGACAUUGCCUGCGGUUUGGAUGAUCUACUGAUGAAUUUCUAAAGUAAAAUAGAGAUGAGGUGGCAUCAUCUAGAGCAGUGAUGGUGAACCUUUUAGAGACCAAGUGCCAAACUACACCCAAACCCACUUAUUUUUUGAAAAGGGCCAACACUGCAGUUAAACCUGAAUACUGAGGUUUUAGUUUUGAAAAACACAGCUACAUUAAUAUUUUUUGUCUAAUUAUCUUUUGUCAAUGACAUGUGCCACUGUCAGCUGUGGACCUUGAGGAAUCACCUUUGAAUCUGUCAUUCACUCAUAUUUAGGUGGGGUUUUUUAGAUGUGAAAAGGGAUUAAAAGACCAUUGUGAAAGAUAUACAAGUCUUGUUUUGGAACUUCCCAAUUUUUUGUUUUUCCUUAAGAGAAUGCUAUGAUUUGAAUGUCCCCACUGAAACUGCCUCUGUAAUUUAAUCCUCUUUGGGAGAUUUGAAGAGAUGAUAUAAUGGAGACUCAAAAGACUGCAGAUGCCCAGUGGGUAACCGAAAGCAGGAUAAAGCUUGACAUCCCUGUCUUCAUUUUAUAUCAGGUUGCUUUAUUACCUUGAGACUUUGGGUAAGAUCCUUAACUCUGCACAUAGGUAGAUUAAUUACAUAAGGGGUUUUUAAAACCUGGCAAUGUGUAGCUCAUUACCCAAAAUUACCCAGUCUGUCUUGUUUCCCUUCAAGACUAAGGACAGCAAGAUAAAAGUAUGUAGGAUAUUUUCAAGAUUUGAGGGUACAUUUAGUUCCCAGCUUUUACAAUGUCCUCUUCCAGAUCCCUUGGAGCAAUGCCUAGCUAUUUCUACUUAUUGUCUUGAAUCUGCAGUUACCUCAGCACUGCCUAUGCAGAUCACCCCAUAAUAAAUCUGCACCCCCACAAAUAUAUCCCUACCCAGAUCUCUGCCCCAUGAUAGAACUGAGGCUUUCCUCCUAGGCAGGAGAAAUCAUGUUAUAAAAACAAGAUUGCCCUCACAACCCAAAAGGACUUCUCUGCUGCUGACUUGUAGAACUAGUCCUGAAAUGACGAUCAUUAGAUCAUGUUGAUCAUUAGAUCAACAUAAUCUGUCCUGCCAGCUAUGCGAACCUCCCAGCUAUCCAACUCCCAGCCUUGCCUUUCCCCACUUUUCUAUAAAACCUCAAAGUUUCUGUCAAUCCCUUGAUGACAGAUCUUGAAUGUCUUUAUCUGUUCUUCCAGGCCCGGCCACCCUGAUGAAAGCUCCCUUGUCUGCCCUUCUUCACUCCUCCUUUGUUUGGCAUUUUGGAACAGGUGGGGAAGCUUCAGGGUUUGCCAUCCCUGAAGCUAGCCACCGCUGCCCACUCCUUUCAUGGCCAUCCACUCCACUCCUUCCACGGACCUCUUUCCCUUCCUUCCCUCUUCCCCCUCUUCUCAGACCUAACAGAUGGUGCCCGUGACUCAACAGCAGGUGAGAAACUCCUGGUUUCUAGUCCCCUGCUGUUCAAGAUUCUUCACUUCUACACUCACAAAUCCAUAUCCUCGACUGCUGUUUCUCAACCAACACCCACCAGGUAAACCUACACAAGGUGGAGCUGCCUGGCCCCUCCAUGGACCACCUCAAAUGCAGCAGAAGACAUUGGGCAACAAAAUGCCUUUGAGACCUUACUCCAGGGCUGCUGGACUGUCCUAGGCACCAGAGAGUGGGUAAGUCAUCCUAAGUUCUAGCCCUCACAGGAAAUGUCGACACUGCCAGAUUUGUCACCAACAGAAAAUCGCUGCUGAAGACUGAGAAGACUCAGGGCCAGCAGCCCCCUUUGUGGGUGUUCGUCUCAGAGUCCAAGUUCCACUAAAACUCUCAAGGUAAGACAUUCUGUAUAUUCGUGGACAUAAGAGACCACAUAUACAGAGUUCUUAACUGAGUUUUUAGGCUAAUAAAUCCUCAAUGUCUCAUGGAGUAUUAAAGGUCAACCUAUGCCAGUUACAAACAGGGCCUAUCGUUAUACAGGUCCCAGUCCUAAAUCCUAAAAUGCUUUUAUUCCCUUUUAAACUGCCAUCCUGGUUUCACAUCACUCAGGCCCUAGAUCUAACCAUCCUUUUGAUACUCAUCUCUGCCUUAUGACUCACAGGUUGUCAUGUUUUGUUGUCCAGUUUGAUUCUUAAUUUCUUACAUUCUAUUAAUGAUCAUUUCUAUAGCAGGACUCUCUAACAGGAUUGCCUACAGACUCCAGCAUCAUAUAUACCAGAGACAAACCUUACCUACCUACCUUUUAACUUUUAUGCUUUCAUAUGGGGGAGUAAACACCUCUCAUAACUUCACUCCUCCUAAUCCCACGUUUAAUUUUUCAGAAUUCUGCCUUGCCACCUCAACGUCAUCCUGAUAGAAUAACCGGUCUAAAUCAAAGACACCUUUCUCUCUACCUCAUUUGGGUCCAUAAAUAUGACAGUGCCAUGUCUCCUCAUAACAUCUUGUCUCUUUGUUUUUUCCAGUCUAACAUACGUGCAUUCACCAGUGAAGUUGUCCUGGCUAAAACACCUAACAUCAGCGUCUACCUGGGCAUCAGCCUUCAUCCCGUCGACUCCCCUAGACCCCAAUACAGCGCCCUCAGCCAGCAGGAAGUAGUUACAGAGAGAAAUCUUCGCCCCUUUUCCUAAUAAUCAUAAGACGGGAUAUGAAAGAGUUGCUGGCCCAGACUGGACACUUUAACCAGGAAAAGCCUCAGCCAUGUUAGGGGGCUCCUGCCUCCCCCACCCCUAUAGAUUUACCUGUAACCCUAUACCCCCAUCCCUAAGAACCUGUCCCUGGCGCCAAACGUGUGCCAAUGAAAUACCUGUGCAUCCUUAAUGCCCCUUGGGGUCCACCCCAGACAGAGGCUACUUAUGGGCCUCACUCCAAGUGUUCGACAGAAGAAGAAGAAGAAGAAGAAGAAGAAGAAGAAGAAGAAGAAGAAGAAGAAGAAAAAGAAGAGAGAGUGUGUUCCAGAGAGAGACUGCCGGCCCCGGGGUGGAGAUGCUGCGCCCCGGGGCUGGGGGUUCUUUCCCCGCAUUCCUGAAAUAAAGGUUACUUAUAUUUUAUAUUUCUAA